AUAUCUGAAUUUUUCUGAGAUGGCAUCCAGAGGCUGCAAGCAUCCAACAAAAGCAUUUUUCUAUGUCUGCGGUCAAUUUAUCAAGACAAGAGCAAAAACGUACUCUGUAGAAGCAUCUGCUAAGAUGUGUGAGGCCUACAAGGCAUAUUUCAGCAUGCCUGUCGGGGAUCAAGACAAACCCUGGGCAGAUUAUUUCACCGGCGAAUAAUGCAAAAAAACGUCUCGAAGGAUGGUACAGAGGGGAAAAGAGAGCCAUGAAGUUCGCUGUCUCAAGAAUUUGGCGGGAACCCACUGACCACUCAAGCAACUGCUACUUCUGCAUGGUGGACCCUUCCAAACGUCGGACUGGCAAGAAUGCAGCUGCUAUCACGUAUCUGGACCUUCCUUCAUCCAUCGCCCCGGUGAUGCACUGCCAUGAGCUCCCCGUACCCACUCCUCCAGAGAGAGAGCAGCCGUCUUUCGAAGAGAGCAGCAAGUCAGAGAACGAGGAAGGCGUUGUAGAUAUAGAUCACAAUUUCAAAGGUGGAGCUGAAGAGAGAAACCAUACUACCCCAACCAAAAAUAACUCAACGACUUGAUCAGAGAUCUUGGUAAAAGAGAUCUUGGAAAAAGAGAUAUUGGUCUCACCAAGUCCAAUGCUGAGCUUUUGAUGUCUAGGCUCAAGCAGUGGAACUUGUUGGAUGAAAGUGUGCAAGUCGCAGAUCAGAGGAAGCGUCACCAACCUUUUUGCAGCAUAUUCGCCUGUCAAAAUGGGCUCUGCUUAUGCCACAAUGUGACCAGUCUGUUGGAGGCAAUCGGAAUCACCUGUGACCAGAAUGAGUGGUGCCUCUUCAUUGACAGCUCAUCCAGGAGCUUCAAAGCCUUGCUGUGCCAUAAUGGUAACAAGUAUCCGACUCUUCCCCUGGCUCACUCGGUGCACCUUAAAGAUGAUUACAACAGCACCAAGACCUUUCUGGACACCUUGAAGUAUGAUGAGUACAGCUGGAAGGUCAUCGGAGACUUAAAAAUGGUGGCAUUUCUAAUGGGUUUCCAAGGUGGUUUUACCAAGUUCCCCUGCUAUCUUUACCUUUGGGACAACAGGGACACCAAGGCGCACUACCACAAGCGGGACUGGCCAGAGCGGACCGAGUUCUCUGUGGGGAAGACCAACAUCAAGUGGGAGCCACUGGUGGACCCCUAAAAGGUGUUGAUGCCACGACUACACAUCAAAUUGGGCCUUAUGAAACCAUUUGUCAGAGCUGUAGAUAAGGAGUCGACAGCCUUCAAUUACCUUCAAGACUUCUUCCCUAAGCUGUCUGAGGCAAAGGUAAAAGCCGGUGUCUUCAUCGGACCACAGAUAAAGAAGAUCCUGGAGUGCAAUGAAUUACCCAAUAAGCUCACUCGUAAGGAGAAAUCAGCUUGGAACAGCUUUGUCGCAGUGGUUCGUGGCUUCCUGGGCAAUCACAAGGUCGAAAACUACGUGGAGCUGGUUGAGACUCUGCUGACAGUAUCCACACCGCUCGUGCCUGCACAUCUGCGCUUUAUUUGAAAGAUGGGUCAAUUGACGUGCGGAGUAAAGUGGAUUAAGGUCAAAAUUCAGCGGCAGUACAAUUCAACAUUGUUCUUCAAGGACCAGCAUUUUAAGCGCGUUUGGAAAACAUUACCGAUGAUGAAUAUACGUGUACGUGCAUCAAUUUGUUGUUUGCUAAUGCGCCAUUGCGAGGGCAGACGCAUUGUGACGAGACUUACGUGGACUCUAAUCUAGGAGGACAUCUCAUUACUUUGAACAGGGCAGCAGGCAGUGUCACUUGGACAGCUCACACCAGGAAAAAUGGCAUCCCCAUCCUAGUAGAGUAAAUAAUCAAACAGACUAACCUCCGAAUAAUAUACUGCUGGCUGCUUAUCCUACGCUGCACUUAAUCAAGACAGUGCCUAAACAUUAAUUACAAUA